GCCUCUGUUAUUGGUAAUGGUGAGAGGUUAGCAUGUUUUGUUGUAGUCUCUGUUAUUGGUAAUGGUGAGAGGUUAGCAUGUUUUGUUGUAGUCUCUGUUAUUGGUAAUGGUGAGAGGUUAGCAUGUUUUGUUGUAGCCUCUGUUAUUGGUAAUGGUGAGAGGUUAACAUGUUUUGUUGUAGUCUCUGUUACUGGUAAUGGUGAGAGGUUAGCAUGUUUUGUUGUAGUCUCUGUUAUUGGUAAUGGUGAGAGGUUAGUAUGUUUUGUUGUAGUCUCUGUUAUUGGUAAUGGUGAGAGGUUAGUAUGUUUUGUUGUAGUCUCUGUUAUUGGUAAUGGUGAGAGGUUAGUAUGUUUUGUUGUAGCCUCUGUUAUUGGUAAUGGUGAGAGGUUAGUAUGUUUUGUUGUAGUCUCUGUUAUUGGUAAUGGUGAGAGGUUAGCAUGUUUUGUUGUAGUCUCUGUUAUUGGUAAUGGUGAGAGGUUAGUAUGUUUUGUUGUAGUCUCUGUUAUUGGUAAUGGUGAGAGGUUAGUAUGUUUUGUUGUAGUCUCUGUUAUUGGUAAUGGUGAGAGGUUAGCAUGUUUUGUUGUAGUCUCUGUUAUUGGUAAUGGUGAGAGGUUAGCAUGUUUUGUUGUAGACUCUGUUAUUUAUUAUCUAGAUCUUUUUUAAUCAUGGCAUCCUCAAAUCAAAUCAAAUCAAAUUUUAUUUG
ensembl:lncRNA